rnacentral:rRNA from 1 species
GCUUAACACAUGCAAGUCGAGGGGCAGCAUGGUCUUAGCUUGCUAAGGCCGAUGGCGACCGGCGCACGGGUGAGUAACACGUAUCCAACCUGCCGUCUACUCUUGGACAGCCUUCUGAAAGGAAGAUUAAUACAAGAUGGCAUCAUGAGUCCGCAUGUUCACAUGAUUAAAGGUAUUCCGGUAGACGAUGGGGAUGCGUUCCAUUAGAUAGUAGGCGGGGUAACGGCCCACCUAGUCUUCGAUGGAUAGGGGUUCUGAGAGGAAGGUCCCCCACAUUGGAACUGAGACACGGUCCAAACUCCUACGGGAGGCAGCAGUGAGGAAUAUUGGUCAAUGGGCGAGAGCCUGAACCAGCCAAGUAGCGUGAAGGAUGACUGCCCUAUGGGUUGUAAACUUCUUUUAUAAAGGAAUAAAGUCGGGUAUGGAUACCCGUUUGCAUGUACUUUAUGAAUAAGGAUCGGCUAACUCCGUGCCAGCAGCCGCGGUAAUACGGAGGAUCCGAGCGUUAUCCGGAUUUAUUGGGUUUAAAGGGAGCGUAGAUGGAUGUUUAAGUCAGUUGUGAAAGUUUGCGGCUCAACCGUAAAAUUGCAGUUGAUACUGGAUAUCUUGAGUGCAGUUGAGGCAGGCGGAAUUCGUGGUGUAGCGGUGAAAUGCUUAGAUAUCACGAAGAACUCCGAUUGCGAAGGCAGCCUGCUAAGCUGCAACUGACAUUGAGGCUCGAAAGUGUGGGUAUCAAACAGGAUUAGAUACCCUGGUAGUCCACACGGUAAACGAUGAAUACUCGCUGUUUGCGAUAUACUGCAAGCGGCCAAGCGAAAGCGUUAAGUAUUCCACCUGGGGAGUACGCCGGCAACGGUGACACUCAAAGGAAUUGACGGGGGCCCGCACAAGCGGAGGAACAUGUGGUUUAAUUCGAUGAUACGCGAGGAACCUUACCCGGGCUUAAAUUGCAGAUGAAUUACGGUGAAAGCCGUAAGCCGCAAGGCAUCUGUGAAGGUGCUGCAUGGUUGUCGUCAGCUUGUGCCGUGAGGUGUCGGCUUAAGUGCCAUAACGAGCGCAACCCUUGUUGUCAGUUACUAACAGGUUCCGCUGAGGACUCUGACAAGACUGCCAUCGUAAGAUGUGAGGAAGGUGGGGAUGACGUCAAAUCAGCACGGCCCUUACGUCCGGGGCUACACACGUGUUACAAUGGGGGGUACAGAGGGCCGCUACCACGCGAGUGGAUGCCAAUCCCCAAAACCUCUCUCAGUUCGGACUGGGGUCUGCAACCCGACUCCACGAAGCUGGAUUCGCUAGUAAUCGCGCAUCAGCCACGGCGCGGUGAAUACGUUCCCGGGCCUUGUACACACCGCCCGUCAAGCCAUGGGAGCCGGGGGUACCUGAAGUGCGUAACCGCGAGGAGCGCCCUAGGGUAAAACUGGUGACUGGGGCUAAGUCAUA